GAUGAAGAACGUAGCGAAUUGCGAUACUUGGUGUGAAUUGCAGAAUCCCGUGAACCAUCGAGUCUUUGAACGCAAGUUGCGCCCGAAGCCAUUAGGCCGAGGGCACGCCUGCCUGGGCGUCACACGUCGUUGCCCCCCCAUCUACUCCUUCGGGAUUGCGGGGGGCGGAUGAUGGCCUCUCGUGCGCCUCGUCGCGCGGUUGGCCUAAAUGCCAAGUCCUCGGCGACGCACGCCACGACAAUCGGUGGUUGCGAAACCUCGGUUGCCUGUCGUGUGCGGUCGUCGCGCAUCGAGGGCUCGAAAAAAUUGCCGGGCUUCGGCUCGACUUUCAACGCGACCCCAGGUCAGGCGGGGUUACCCGCUGAAUUUAAGCAUAUCAAUAAGCGGAGGA
rnacentral:misc_RNA from 1 species